rnacentral:rRNA from 1 species
AACGAACGCUGGCGGCAUGCCUAACACAUGCAAGUCGAACGAGACCUCCGGGUUUAGUGGCGCACGGGUGCGUAACGCGUGGGUACCUGCCCUUUAGUUUGGAAUAACCUCCCGAAUGACUUCCUAAUACCGGAUCUUGUCUUCGGUCCGAAGAUUUAUGGCCUUUGGAUGGGGCCGCGUUUGAUUAGCUUGUUGGUAGAGUAAAAGCCUAUCAAGGAGUCGAUCCAUAGCUGGGCGGAGAGGAGGAUCAACCACAAUGGGGCUGAGACACGGCCCAGACUGGGACGGAAGGGAGCAGUAGGGUAUAUUAGGGGAGGGACGAAAGCCUAAUCAAGCAAUGUCGGGUGAGAGAUGAAGGGGUUAGGGUUGUAAAGCUGUUUUUGACGGGAUGAGAAUGACAGUAACGGGAAAAGAAGCACCGGCUAACUCCGUG